CGCCUGUUUAUCAAAAACAUCUUUUCUCGUUAGUUUUUGAAGUAUGGCCUGCCCACUGACUUUUAUGUUGAAGGGCCGCGGUAUUUUGACCGUGCAAAGGUAGCAUAGUCAUUAGUUCUUUAAUUGUGAUCUGGUAUGAAUGGCUUGACGAGGCAUGGGCUGUCUUAAUUUUGAAUUGUUUAUUGAAUUUGGUCUUUGAGUUAAAAUUCUUAGAUGUUUUUAUGGGACGAGAAGACCCUAUAGAGUUUAACAUUUAUUAUGGUCCUUUUCUGUUUGUGAGGGUUCACUGGGCCGUAUAGUAUGUUUUGUUGGGGUGAUGGGAGGGAUUUAUUUAACCCCUCCUUUAGGUUGUUAUAUUUAUUUAUAUUUACUUGAUCCAUUUAUUUUGAUUGUAAGAUUAAAUUACCUUAGGGAUAACAGCGUAA
rnacentral:rRNA from 1 species